rnacentral:rRNA from 1 species
UACGUAGGUGGCGAGCGUUGUCCGGAUUUACUGGGCGUAAAGCGCGCGCAGGCGGUCGUUUAAGUCCGUGGUGAAAUCGCCCGGCUCACCUGGGCGGGUGCCGUGGAGACUGGACGACUAGAGGCGCCUAGAGGCCGGUGGAACUCCCGGUGUAGUGGUGAAAUGCGUAGAGAUCGGGAAGAACACCAGUGGCGAAGGCGGCCGGCUGGGGGGUGGCCUGACGCUGAGGCGCGAGAGCGUGGGGAGCGAACCGG